GGAGAAAUGCCAGAGUGGUUGAAUGGGACGCUCUCGAAAAGCGUUGAGCCUUCACAGGUUCCGAGGGUUCGAAUCCCUCUUUCUCCG
rnacentral:tRNA from 1 species